GUUAAUGUAAGUUUCAAGUUACUCUUUCUGUAUUUAUGCUUAUUAUUAAUAGUUUUCCUGAAUCUAAGUUUAUUCAUAAAUUAAUCCUAGUUAUCUUGAUGAAGUUCACUUUCAAUCUGUUCUCACAUUAACUGUGAAAUGAACUCAAUCAAUUUCAGCUGGUGUAAUUUUGGUUUAUUGCCGUUUCAUUAAAUAUUGAAAUAUUUUUUUGUGGCUAAAAUAUACUUGAUCUGAUUGACUCAGAUCACUUGAUAAUUGUAUGAGAUAAUUUAAAAUUACUCAGAAAAUUCAUAUUUAUAAAAGCUUUUUGUCCGCAAGCUGAAAUAGUAUUGAUAUAAUGGAUUUAUCCUAAAGUGAUGCAUCUAUUGUUUGUGUUUCCUUGUUCUUUGAUGCAAAACUCAGAUAAUUAAAUUUUAUACACAAUUCAAUAAAAUCAUUGUCACUCUUGUGAAAAAAUCACUCCUCUUCAACAUCAUCCAGUGAAAUUAGUAAUCAAUCAUUUUGUGUUUGUGAUUUUCUGUGACCAAACUAUCAUUUAUUGGUAGAUAUCUGUCCUUAAUGUUGACUAUUAAGUUGAGAAAUAAAACCUUAACUAACUAUUGGAAGUGAUUAGUAACCCCUUAUCAACAUUGUGAUCAACAGUUUACAGGCUCAUUAUUCCCCUGCCAUCAUAGAAACAUAAAGUCAUGUAUAGUAACUACGGAGCAACAAGUGAAUCAAUUGAAUCAGCUCGACUUGCCGAUGCUGAAUUAGGAUCUUACUCUGCCUUUACUGAUAAAGCAGUUCGCCUUGGAUUCAUUCGUAAAGUACUCGGCAUCGUAACAAUCCAAUUAAUUAUCACAAUUUUGAUCGGAACCGUAUUCUUUCUAUCAGAUGAUGUUCGUGAAUUUACAUAUUAUAAUUCAUGGAUGAUCUGGCUAGCCUUAAUCGUCUCUUUUGCGUCACUUAUCAGCUUAACCUGUUGCAACAUUUCUCGUUCUUUUCCUGGAAAUUUAAUCUGUUUAACAUUAUUCACCUUAGCUCAAGCAAUUACAAUUGGCUUUUACAGUUCAUUUGCACAUGGUGAUAUACUCUUUGCUGCAGUUUUGCUUACAACCGUCCUGGUUGUGGCUCUGAUAGCUUUUGCUUGCCAAACCCGGAUAGAUUUCACUGUUGCUACCGGCAUCGUUUACUUGUGUACAAUAGCCCUUCUACUCUUUGGCCUGGCAUGUAUCAUUUUCCCGAACAAAAUAACGCUUCUAAUUUAUGCCUCAUUGGGAGCACUUCUCUUCUCAUUCUGGCUUGUUAUUGAUAUUCAAAUGAUUCUUGGGCGUAACAGCGUUUAUCAAUUCUCACCAGAAGAUUACAUUCUCGCCUCCAUCAUAAUUUACCAGGAUAUAAUCAAUAUUUUCAUCAAUAUUCUCGACAUCCUUACACAUUCACUCUGAAAUUAAGGUUUACACUUCAACCUUAACGUGAUAAAAAUCAAAAUUGUGUUUUCUCCUCCAAUUCUGUCUACACCAAUUGAUUGCCAAGAAGAAAAAAGUUUGCUGUAAUCCAACAAUCUCCUCAUAUCAAUUCUGUGAAUAAUCUAAAUAUAACUUAAAAAUUUAUUAAUAUAUGAAAGAGGUUUACCUAAAUAUCUUCUCAAUUGCUGAACAUUGCUUGGAAAAGAUGGAAUUUUCAAGUCCUGGCAAUCAAAUGAAUUCAAUUCACAAUCAUCAAAAUGGUUGAAAGUCACUUUGACGUUCAUGAGCUUAUCUUAUAUUUCAUGUAAUAUACUACAACGGUUUUGGAGUUUCAAAGCAGUUUCGAGCUAUCAAAGAUCGUAAUUAAAAUUUGAUAAACACGGAGAAGCAGAAUAAUGCUAUUUAUAUGCCAAUUUUUCAGUUAAAUUUUCUAUUUUCUGUUAUAAAAUGAUUUUUUUGUAAAUUUUGAGUCUGAUUAUCUGAUAAUCUAAAAUAUAAAGUAUCUAAAAUUGAAUUCAUUAA